UUAAUGCCAAAACCCUCAAGACUUCCACUGUCCCAACAGAUGCAUGACAAGAAAUUAAACCCACCAGCCCCAGUGCUGUGUGCAUGUACGUGAACUCUGGGAACUUCAGUGUUAGGGGAGUUGUAGGCCUGAAAUUGUUUAUGGUACCAACAGAUAGCAAAGGGCCUGCCUUCGGCCUCUUCUCAACUCUCAACAACUGAGCAAAAAUGUUCCAAGCAACUUCUGAGUGGUAAUAGUCUUUCAUUGAGAACAUGUGUUUUAAGAAAGUAUUAGACAGAUAAUCCAGUUCAGUGCUGAAGUUUCUGGGCUCAGCCCUGCAGUCUGACAUAGAAGUUGUGGCUGAUUAAACCUGAGCUUAUUUGGUUACUGUGUCAGAAUUAUGGCAUUGCUCGGAGCCUUUUUAACUCGUUCCAGGUGAAACAAGGCUCCCUCUUCUAGCUGGUGUUACUUCAAAAAGCAGUCCCAAGUUAUGAAGGUUACAACAGUCUUGUUGACUGAUGUGAUCAACAGGGAGAAUGAUUUCUCACUCAUGUAUAGCUGGUGGGUGGCCGGGUACACCAGAGUUCUUUAGGACUUGCCUGAAUUUUGUUCUAAAUGUUGUGUCUGUACGGUCAAUGUUCAUUACUCUUGCAGAUAAGAGGUGGAACAUGCAAAUGCGUUUAUAGCAGUGGUUGCACAAGUCUGUUCUAAAAUACUAUAUUCUGUUGCCUAAUGCUUCUGAAUUAAUGUGUUUUCUUCACUCAAGAAUACAUUAUUUCACCUGAACAAUAUGAGCAAAAAUCUCAGGCUUUGGAAUAGAGUGGUACCAGGGAGGUUCUGUAUAGUUUGUGUGAGUACUUGAAAGGGAUGGGGGGGAACCUAGAAAGGAAUCUUGUUUACAGUCAUCCCCUCCCCCCUUCCUUUUCUAGUGUUUUAAGACCACAGCAGGAUUUUGGGUGUAAAUGAUUCACUUGACAUGGCAUGUGAGAAAACUUGUUUUUAAAAUACAUACAGAUAGAUUUUAAUGUUGACUGUUUUGCUUCGCUCCUACUUGUGUUCAGCACCAGCCUGUCUGUUUGAGCCAGCAUCCUUUUGUGAGUUGUGUGCCUGGGGGAAGGGAGGGUGACGUGCCUUCUGAACUCUGCUGUGAUUUACAGCAGUGUAUGAAGAAAAUGGCAGGGCCCGAUGAUACUGCAUCAUACAUCGUCAUCGUUGUAUUUGCUCUGGGUAUACUUCCUCUUCCAUUUUUCUUCCUACUGUUUUCUAGGUCAAAAUUUAGGUGUUUGUCUGAUUUUGCCCCUGUCAGCUGGCUAUCCCUGUAGAUGAAAUGAAUCCUACUUUAACUGCAUUAUUUUCUUGAAGAGUUCUGUCCUAAAUUUCAAGGUGCUUGGAGAUGGAAUCAUGAUUUAUUACACAGUGUUAUCCAGUGAAUUGCUUCACAUCCUUACUUUUUUGGAUGAGCAGUGAUGGGGCCAGGGACAGUAAUGUUUUCCACCUAGCCUUCAUUUUAAAACUUGUUUUUAAACCAAAUUCAUUCAGACACUGACCACAGGGAAUGUCAACAUUUUCUUUUGUUCUUUUAUUAUUACAAAUUGAAAUGAAAAGAUGUUAAUUUCAAAUUGAACACUAAAAAUAAGAACAAAAAAAACUCAUUUUCAUGCAAGUUAUCAGUCCCAAUUAUCAACUUGAUUACUUGCUUGGACCAUUUCUACAACAUUAAGCAUGUAUGAUACUUGUUUAAAGUAAAUUAUUAAAAAUACAGUAUGCUCUAAUAUUUAUAUUUUAUCCUAAUUUGCAUUGUAUCUUCAAUUAUAUUUGUAUUUCUUCCACCAACUUUCCACAGAAUAUGUUCUUCCUUGGUGUGUUACAAAAAUAUUUAUUUUCCUUUGUAUUGGUGGGAAAUGCUCUUCUGUGAAAAAUCCUAACCAGAUGUACUUAGAAUUGUUUUACCAGCAAAAUGAUUUCUCAUUCUGUGGGCAUUGAGUAACUACCUGGUGUUCAUACCAAAAAAGAAAAUAAAAUAUUCUAUAAUAUAAGCAGAAGGUACCACGCCCUAUCCAUCAUUAUACCUUCUUCUAAAAUCGAUCUGCUUUCAUUAUGGCCUGAGAUGCCAUGGAGCUUCUCAGUAUGUUUUCAAGUGCCGUGUAUAAGUGUUCACGACGAAAUAAAGCUGUUUUGUGAUUUCCAUGUCUCCUGCAUUUUAAAAUGCACUACAGAGAAAAAUAGAUUGUUUUGUAUUAUAUAUGCUUAGCUUUCACACAGCUGUGGAUGUUAUUGCUUUAGGCAGCACUUAAGAAAGAAAUCUGACUUCAAAUUUUGUUUGUCUAGUCUCAUCCACACUAUUAUCUAUGUCUAGUGCACUGAACAGUGAACUGAACUACUUCUGGAAGAGGCUUUAAGCCAUUCAUCUCUGCUGGCUGCAUAGGUGCAAUUCACUUGCUGAGAAUCACAAGGAAAAUUAUUCCUGGUUACUCACAAAUUUGUCUGCUUUUUCUAGCAGGCAGUCCUCUUACGGCACAGAGCUAAUGUAGCAAGAGAACUUAUUAAAAAAUAACAUAAUGUGGCAAUGGCAACACAUCAUAAAGUGCUUGCUACAGUUUUGUCUGUCCCCUUAGUCCAAAAUAAAGUCUCUCAAAUGUAUCCUUACUCCAGAAUACAUCCAUGAUAUACAAUUGAAUGUAAAGUCAUACUCUGUAAUACACUGAUUGCUUCCUUAGGAAGUCAUUUGACAUACCAUAAAAUCAGUAUGAUCAUAGUAACAUGUAGAAUUUUCAUAAUUGCCCUGCAAAGCUCAUUUAUAACAGUUUCAAGUUCAGGCCAUCAAAGCCGAGCUGUUACAGAAACCUAAAGCUAAAGAAUGAUGUGUUAUGUGUGUAUCUUUGCAUGGUGGUAGUAGUCACAGGAUCAUGGAAUUGGUUUGGGUUGGAAGGGACAUUAAAGACCAUCCAUUAAAGACCACUAAAUUCCACCCCCCUGCCAUGGGCACAGAUACCUCCCACCAGACCAGGCUGCCCAAAGCCCCAUCCAGCCUGGCCUUGAACACCUCCAAGGAUGGGGCAUCCACAGCUUCUCUGGGCAACCUGUGCCAGGGCCUCACCACCCUCAAAGUAAAAGAUUUCUUCCAAAUACCUAAUUUAAUCUAUAUUUUUUUUUAGUUUGAAGACAUUGUACCUUGUCCUAUCACUUCAUUCCCUGACAAAGAGUCCCUCUCCUGCUUUUUUGUAGGCAGUAACAAUAAUGGUUCAACUGGAGAACUGCACUUCCAGCACUACAGCAUCCUCUGAGUGCUAAGUGUCACUGAUAGAACAGGUUCAAGUGCUCAUGAAGAAUGUGAUCUUUCCGAUCUUGCCAUUUAAAUAUAAAAGGUGACCAUAUACAGUAGUCUGAAGGUACCUGGGAGAUCUUUCUGCAAUCUUUUCACAAAUGGGUUUUUGCAUGAAGAUGAACAACCACACCAAGAAAACAAUAUGCUUAUAUCAAGUUGUUUUCAAUCCCUGAGUGCAGAAAUGAGCUGAGUAAAAUGCUAAGUAUGCUGAAACAUUGGGCGUGGAAAUCAGUCUUGCCAUCUUGGCGAAUUACACAGUUUUACUUCUGUGCAGAAGACAGCAACAUUGCCAUGAUACAUAAAGCUCCAGGCUCCUAGCAAAUUUCAGCCAGCCCCGCAGAUGGAGCAAGAAGGGUGAAGGUGCCUUGCUUUGAGCUGUUACAACCCAUUUGUCCACUGACUAGAGGAAGAACAGCCAGUCUAAGCUACAAGGGAAAAUGGAGUUCUCUCUUUCUCAUAGGAAAAUAAAAUCAGCAAGACUCGCAUUCAAUCAACCGUGCUUGUGAACAUUCUGAUUCUGCUGUCUGUGGGACUAGUACUGCAAAUCCGUAAUGUGUGCGUGCCUUUGUGCUGGAUGAGAUCUGUCACGUGUGGAAACGUGCCAUAGGCCAUGCUGGUACAGUGUCUGGUGAAACUUUCACGAAGCCUUUGACAUAGCUGUCAAGAAAUUCCCAAGCAUGUAUCUGGAAUGGCAGGAACCACAGAGGUGACCUUGGAAAUCAGACUUUGUUAGAAUAUUAUGCAACAUAUUUUGUAAGUCCUACUUAAAUGUUUGCAGAAGUAAUUCUACAAGUUGAGUUGUAUUGCACAGUGCUACCACUAUUAAAUGCUGAACAACACAUUGCGUUCACUACCAAUAGUGAAUGUAAAAGUCAUUUAAAAUAAAAAUCCUUACCACUCUGAGCUCUGGAAACCCAUACUAGCUUUAGCUGCUUCUUGUAGCUAAAAAACUCAGCAACCUGUUGAAUCUGGAGCUGUGUUUCACGAGGGAGGCAAGAUCAAGCUUUCCAGCUCCAGUAGAAUUGGAGGCAAAGCAUGUUUCUUCUGUCUGUAGAGAUGAUAAGGAUCAUGUUUUAAUAACAAAAACAAUAAAAAAAAAAUAGCAGGAUGAUUCACAUAAACUAUUUUCCUGCCUUGGGAGGCCAGUUACUCAUGUUAAGGUCUAAUUACAUGUCACUGAAGUCAUCCUUUUAACUCCAUUUCCCUUAUUUGGAUAAUUUAGCAACAAGAUAUCUCAGUGAAAAUAGGACAAAACAAACAAAUAAACAAAAAAAUCUCUCCAUGAAAACAGGAAUGAAGACACUUUCCAAACACUACACAAUAGUCUCAACUAUUGUCAGGACUACAAAGGA